GUACAUCGAUAGUUUAUCUUGAGUGUGUUAUAGUUUGACUACACCAUAACUCAGUCUCCUGGCCAUUCGAAAUCCUGAGUGUAUGUUGGCUGUAGCAUAUUCAUUGUAAGAACUAGGUCGCACCAAGAUGGGAUCUAUCAACCUCGGUAGAUGAGAGGAGUAGUCCUAUGAUGAUCGAAAGAUCGAGUCCUUAAGCCCAUGGCCAUAGCAGAGUAAAAUAAUAGAAAAAGAGUUUUUUAUUGGGGUUUCACAUC
rnacentral:lncRNA from 1 species